AAAAAUAAAAAACAUGGUACAAAAAAACAUACAUUUUUUUAUAUAUACAUGUCUUGUUUUGUCUUGUUUUAUUAUUAUUAUUAUUAUUUUUUAUUUUAUUUUAUUUUUUUUUGGUAAAGUGAAAAAGAAGUUCGAUUUUUAUGGGUUGGUACACCCAUGGUUAAAGAUGAAAACCCCGUAUCGUUAUGUCUACAUGGUUUAUCAACACAAGAAAUUUACUCACGUAGUAUUGAAGACUGUAGCGUACAACAGAUAGGAAAUAUAGAAGACAAAGAAAACAAUAAACUAAGUGAAAUGCUUAACUUUUUAAUUUUAAUCGAAGAGUUUAAUCCUUUAGAAUAUAGCAAUGAAAGAUUUGAAUAUUCGUUUAAGUUUGCAAGAAGUUCUUUGAUAAAUUUUACCAGUACCGAUGAACAUUUAAACAAAGGAAACCAGAACACAACACUUUUAAAAAACAACAUGUAUGACAGUACUGAUGAGGAAGACAAUACUACGCAAGAGAAACCUUUAAAAAGAGGAAAGCUAACAAAAACAAUUAAACCAAAAAACGAAAUUACUUUUAAAAAAGAUAGUUUAAAAAAUAAAAAAAAAACAAUUCCAGACCCAAGAUCUGUACUUUUAACCAACAUUAAUAAAGCUUUUCAAAAAAAUAUUAUAUGAAUAGAAUAGAAUAUUACAAAAUGUUUUUAUAACCACAUUUAUCUACACCUACCUAUGCAUGUAUGUAUUUAACGCGAUUGUUAUGCAUAGCUUAUAGUUCUAUUCGAAAACAUAUAACAUAGGUACAAACGAAAUAAAUAUAUAAAAUAAACGCGUUUUCGUGCA
ensembl:lncRNA